rnacentral:sRNA from 1 species
AUCACGAAUUAAAUCAAAAGAUAAAUAUU